UGGGAAUUUUCCUUUUUCCUCAAAACGAUAUCGUUCCAGAGUGGACCGAAUUGAAAUCGCAAUAAAAUAACUGGGUAAAAAUAAAAAAUAUAAAAGUACCUAACUAAAAAACAUUAAAAAAAGCGGAAGGGCUAAAGGUGCAAUUAGCCCUUCCAACGAAAACAGGGGGACCCUCCGGGUAAUGGGUCGGGUCAGGUACGGGUCAUGCAAUACGGCGCCGUUUUGGCGCUGAGACCCCUAGGUGAAACGGCGUCGUUUUUCAUUUGGUAUAAAUAUAAAAAAAAACCCCUAAAAAAACAGAUUCAACCCCCUUUCUUUAAAAAAAAAACAGAGUUUUGGAGCUCUCUCUCAAAUCCCCAAAUCCGGCCAUGGUCCGGCCGUCCCCGGUCAUCAGGCCGCCGUCCGUCGGCCACCGCACACGGUCGUCGGAGGCACAAAAUCGGACCUUUUUGGUCCCUUUUGGAGCCUGUCGCCUCUAGGACACGGAUUCGAGGCCGAAUCCCGCGAGAAAUGAGCCCGUACCCGAGAAAAGCAAAGAGAGACCGCCCGUCUCCCCUCCCUCCGGCACGGCGCAGGCAUUGACGGAGACGUGCGGCGCGGGUCAGAUGCAGGUGGGGGUGGCCGAUGGGACGUGCGGCAGAGGAGACCUGAAGGCCCUAGGUACGGCGCCUAGGGUUUUUUCUUUCUUUUUUUUGCUGAAAAUAGUUUAGGUUUGGGCCAUUUUGGGCUGUUAGGGUUUUUUUAUUAUUGGGUCAUUUUGGGUCUGUUGUUUUUGGGUUUAAUUUUAGCUUGUUAGGCUGGGGUAUUUUAGGUUAAUGGGCCCCGGGCAAAUUUGGACUUGUACAGCUGUCCCUCUUUGCUCGUUGUAUUAUAAAAAUAUAAAAAUCAGAUUAUAUUAAAAA